CCAGACUCCUACGGGAGGCAGCAGUGAGGAAUAUUGGUCAAUGGGCGGGAGCUUGAACCAGCCAAGUCGCGUGAGGGAAGACGGUCCUAUGGAUUGUAAACCUCUUUAGGCGGGGAGCAAUGCCGGGCACGCGUGCCCGGAGGGAGAGUACCCGCAGAAUAAGCAUCGGCUAACUCCGUGCCAGCAGCCGCGGUAAUACGGAGGAUGCGAGCGUUAUCCGGAUUUAUUGGGUUUAAAGGGUGCGUAGGCGGAACAUUAAGUCAGCGGUAAAAUCGAGGGGCUCAACCCCUUUAAGCCGUUGAAACUGGUGAUCUUGAGUGGGCGAGAAGUAUGCGGAAUGCGCGGUGUAGCGGUGAAAUGCAUAGAUAUCGCGCAGAACUCCGAUUGCGAAGGCAGCAUGCCGGCUCCACACUGACGCUGAGGCACGAAAGCGUGGGUAUCGAACAGGAUUAGAUACCCUCGUA
rnacentral:rRNA from 1 species